rnacentral:rRNA from 1 species
UACGAAGGGAGCUAGCGUUGUUCGGAAUCACUGGGCGUAAAGAGUGCGUAGGCGGUUUAGUAAGUUGGAAGUGAAAUCCCGGGGCUCAACCUCGGAAUUGCUUUCAAAACUGCUAAACUAGAGUAUGGUAGGGGCUAGUAGAAUUCCUAGUGUAGGGGUGAAAUCCGUAGAUAUUAGGAGGAAUACCAGAGGCGAAGGCGACUAGCUGGGCCAUUACUGACGCUAAGGUACGAAAGCGUGGGGAGCAAACGGG